rnacentral:rRNA from 1 species
GAUGAACGCUGGCGGCGUGCCUAACACAUGCAAGUCGAACGGAGGUUGUUCGCUGCCUAGUCUUCGGACGAAGCUUGAACAACCUUAGUGGCGGACGGGUGAGUAACGCGUGGGCAACCUGCCUUGCACAGGGGGAUAGCAGUUGGAAACGACUGGUAAUACCGCAUACCUUGGAGAGACCGCAUGAUCACUUCAAGAAAACAAUAGUGGUGCAAGAUGGGCCCGCGUCCGAUUAGAUAGUUGGUGGGGUAACGGCCUACCAAGUCGACGAUCGGUAGCCGACCUAAGAGGGCGGACGGCCACAUUGGGACUGAGACACGGCCCAGACUCCUACGGGAGGCAGCAGUGGGGAAUAUUGCACAAUGGAGGGAACUCUGAUGCAGCGACGCCGCGUGAGCGAUGAAAGUAAUUCGGUAUGUAAAAGCUCUAUCCAGUAGGGA